CGUUUCCUUCCCAGGAGAAGUACACACUCCUGAGUGUACUGAGCCACAUCGGUGCCCGGGCUACAUCAGGACAUUACAUCAGUGAGGGGGCCUAUCCGGAAGAGGGCAACAACCUGGCUGACCAAUGGCUGCGCUACAAUGACCUGAAGGUGUCACGGACCACCGGCAGGGCCGUCUGUCGCCGGCGGCAACGCACGGCCUACCUGCUGUUCUACCAGCGACAGGUGUAGAACAGUCUGGGGUCUGGGUGGGGGGUGGGGGAAGGGCCCUCUGGUCUUGGGUGGGUGGGAUGUUGAGGAGCAGACCAACAUCCCAUCCCAGAGUCCCAGAGCCCCCUGAGACCACCCCGAGACCACGCUGAGCCCCCCCAGGAGCGAUGGAGGCCCAGACUCAGUGGUCUCCUCCACCCAGGCAGCCCCAGCCCUCAGCUCCUGCUGCAGCAGAUUCCCCUCGCCGAGUUUGCUUCAUUGCAACGGGGAAAACUGGGGCAGAAGUUGGCCGGAGGAAAGAACCAUUGGUGUGGUCAGCAGCUCAGUACAAUCACCAGACCGACGGCCACCCCCCUUCGAGGUGGCCCAGGUACGCGCCCCACCGAGGCAGGGGAGCUCCAGGAGGGUAGAGCUGCUGCCCUGAGGUAGGUGCAGGCGUGUGUGUGUCUGUGUGUGUAGGACGCCCAUGAGUUCCUGACCGCUGUGCUGGACCAGUUGAGUGGUCUGUCCCUCCUGCUAAAGCCAGCCGCUCUGGGCAUGGUGGGAAGGACCUACUCCUGCCCUGUGGAGGCUCACCUGCUCUUCAACAUGAGGAGAACCAG